AAGGGACGCCUCCUCAAGCGACCCCACCUCGCGCUCCCGAUGCUGCGCUGACACCUCCUCCCCUUCUCUCACGGCCUCUACAAGCAUCCGCAAAUCUUCCCUCUCCCAUAAUCUCCUGUUUUGCCUCUCAAUCACGAAUCAGGAUCCAUGGAGGUUUCCGACAAGUGCUACUCGAUCUGCUAUACGGCAGCGGCCGGGACCGCCGGCCGUGGGUCUGCGUCUCGCUGCUCAUCCUCGGGAGGGAACUCGGUGUUGGCGAGGUUCCAUGGAGUGCCAAGCGGGGACGAGCAUGACCUUCUAUUCCCCGGCUCUUCACCGACCCCAGGAAGAUCGAUGAUGGGGAUCGAAGCGCCGGUGCUCCAAUCCGGUGGAGGGGUGGGGGCGGAGGUGCAGGCCCAAAACACUACCCAGAAGGAGGCGCCCCGGAUGAGCAACACACGUCGUGGAGGACGCGCUCUCGGUCGCCGGCGGUUUCCUUCUGUCGACGGCGAUGGGUUGCCUCUUCUUCUCCGUUCGUGUGGUAAGGUUUGUUCUUCUUCCAUCAUGUUCCUUCUUUUGUCUCGUCACAAGCACAUGCCACGGAGGCUAAACUCUUUUGGCAACCGAUUGAAAAAUCUGCUGGAGGAGAGCUUCAUUAGAUCUGCCUACUCCUGUAUUUUCAGUUACAUGUGUGACUCGAAAAAAUACACUAUAUGUUACUAUGCUAUAUAUAUUCCUUAAGUUAUGUAUAGAACCUCUACCUAUAUACUUGGAUCACCGGAUUGUUCAAUUCUUUUUAUGCAACAAAACUACAGAAUUAGUACUUAUCAUUGCAGUGUCGUGUUCUGUGUAUACCAAUAUCUCUACCACUAUAAUACACCAGUCUUGAAUUUGGGUUCACCACCCCACUUGUUUUUUAGUCCGCUUGGGUACUGAUCACCUGAACUAAUAAUUAACUAAUAGCCAAGAUACAGUGCAGAGAGUAAACUUGCCGGGUGAUACAUGAGAGCAUUUAUAUAAUGGUUGGUUCUAUCAAGUUUUUUACCGAUUUAUACUGAAUUAAAGUUGUUGAUAUGGCGAUAGGGUCUCCAGUGUACAUGAUUAUUGAUUAAAUUUCUAUAUAAACUUCUUCUUCCAAUUUGUUCAAUUGUAAGACUAGUGAUGUAACAAUGAACGUUAAUUGUAUUGUUCUGCUCUUGGUUAGUACAAGAAAUGCUUGAGUUGUCAAUCAGGAAGAACUUCAAUUCUUCAAGCAAGAACUCUAGACUGGGCUUUCAAAUAAGUUGGACUGUAGAUAAUGUCCAUAUUUGUGAUCAUUGAUGCUUGUGCUUUCUUCUUCAUGUUCUGGUGAGGAAGAAGGGAAAACGCUGGAGCCAAUAGAUGUUUAGUGGGGCUAUGUUCUGAAUUGACAAAGCUAAAGGAAGCACAUGCCAUCUAUCUCUCAUAUUGGUUAUUUGGAUCCUGAGAAAUCACCAUGCCUAGCUUAAAUUUAUUGACACUAGCUUGUUCUGAUAAAAAAAAUCAAUGCAGGGAAGGAAACAGAAUAUGGGGAUUGCAACUAUAGAAUGGUGAUUCUCUGUUUUCGAGUCGCUCGACUAGUCGUCGACUAGUCGAUGAGUCACACUGGCAGGGUCGACUCAGCCUAGCGACUCGACUCAUGGUAUGAGUCGAGCGACUCGAGCGACUAGUCACGACUCGUCGUGUUUUCUGGGUCGAACGACUCAAUUUUUUUUCUCUAAUCUUGCUUGCUGGAAACCUAGAUCGAAGCAGUUCCCCCUCCCCCCUGACCCAACCCUUUCCUUGGCAACCGCCACCGCCCAUGGUUGCUGGCUUGCUGCUCCUCCCCUCCUCCCCUGGUUGCUGCUGCAUAUCUGCUCCGUCCCUCCUCUGGUUGCUGCUGCUGGUGGUCUGCUCCUCCCCUCCUUCCAUGGUUGCUGCUGCUGCUGGUCUGCUCCUCCCCUGAGCUACCAAGCAGAAGCACUAGAGGUCUAGAGCAGAUCAGAGCAAAAGGAAAAGGGAUGAUACAGGAUAGUGCUUCUGUAUGGUAAUUUUAUUGUACCUACUGCCUACUGCAUAACUCACGUCAACUCGUCGCAUGUCGACUCGUCGACCAUGAGUCUAGACUAGUCACGAUUAGUCUAGAGUCGCCGCCCCUGAGCGACUCGUCGACUCAUCGACUCAAAAACCAGGUGAUUAGAUAUUCUUGAUAGAGAGGCAUAGAUUUCUAAUGUCAGUCUUAGAUAGAGUUCACAUAUAGCUGCAGUUUUUGCGACUACGGAAUUGUGAUUGGAUAUUCUUGAGUAUUCAGUUCUUCAGUACUGUUAAUUGAACAUACACCGGAAGUCAAAUUUCCAGGUAUGUACUAACCUUCCAGUAAUCAGGGGUAUCAUAGGUUAUGUAUUAAUACCUAUUGGAAACUCCUAUCUUACUGAUGACUCUCCCUUGUAGGUAAAUCUGAUCAAGACUACUAGAUGAUCCAAAUGGAGGAUUACUUCACUUUCAGACCCACUUUGUAAUUGUACAUCAUUGUCUUACCACAGAAGUUCAGAUGGACAUAGUAUCCAGGAUACCAACCAUUUGGAACUCCUCUCUACAAAAAAGGGUUAAGGGGAUUGGUAACUGGAGUUCAGAGCAUAAAAUUAUUCUAAUUGCCAUGCCUACAGUAUUGUAUACACAGAUUUGAGAGAGGAAUAGUGGAUAGAUGAGCAAUGGACCAUUAAAGUUGCUUUCCAUGGUUCUCUUAGGGACCAUUGCAAAAGGUGUUUUUGUUUGGAUAAAGGUCAUCGAGCUAAGGUAAGCUCUCCAUAGACUGGAACAUUAUCAUGUCCUCGCCGGCGAGGAAGCCAGGUGACCUUCUCAUCCAAUGCCUUUCCCUCCUUAUCCCUUUCUCCUAUCGUAGUUCCCUCUCAAUGCGUUAGUUUCUUUCGUCGUCGCUAGGUUCCCAUGGCACUCUGCCACGCUCGCUUCAGUAGCUCAUUGAUUAAGAGGUACGAGUGGGUGGCCAGCUGCAAUGUCUAGAUGGAAGACCUCUCCUGUUCAGAUUUAUUUUGGGUUCUUGAUUCCUUUCUCCCAAUGGUUAUAUGUAAUUAGUACAACAUUAGGAAAAAAAUUAUACCAUGUUUGUGGCUGGAUGCAUUGAGUUGUUGGAAUUGUUGUAUUAGAAGUGCACUUUUGAUUGCCUUACCAAUGGUCCAAAAUAAUUGCACAACCCGUGAAAUUGACCGUGGUUUUAAUGUACUUUUGUUACAAUAGAGUUUUUUUUAGGAGCAAAGGACAGUGGGAGAGAUCUCCCACUGACUUGUAACUAUAAAAAGAAGGACGUCAGUUACAUUUACAAUAUACUAGAGUAUAUUUCAUUAUUUCCCAGUUUGGACAUACUUCUAUUGAUUUGCUUCUCAUAAAUAUUAUCAUGCAUGUAUCAGCUGGUGAUUGUGUGAUAGUGGCGUGCUCUCAUAAAUAUUAUGUGUUUCCAGGAAGAUGAAUCCUUUCCGAAUAGGGACUAGGUUGGUUACUUCUUUUGUAAUUAUAUGUUUCAGUGAUAGCUGCUUGAUUAAAUGGUUCCAUCUGUUUCUUAUUCUUGUCAUCUAACGUAGAUAAAUAGAUUAUAUGCUUUUGUGCUGAAUUACGUGGAAGGUCGAGACGACCGCACAUACGUAUUUUUUUAUGUUUAUUACCGCAUGGAUGCCUACUGACCCUAAAUAUUUUUGUUUAAAAUGUUUUCCUAUGAAGUUUCUAUACAAUAUAAGAAAGUUGGUCUCAACUAUUUGAGGUCAUAUUCUAUUUUAAAGAUUACUCAUAUAGUUUCAUAGCUGAUUCAGUUGCAUUCGUUGAGAACAAGUGUUUGUAUCAAUCUUGUUUUUCAGGUUACUCGUAUUACAUAUUGAUGGAUUUCUUGCAGGCUUGUAUGCCAGAUUUUAUUUCAACUGUAUGUAAUCUUUUCUUUGACAAGAGGGUAUGUAUUCUGGACAAAUUCUGUAAUUAUAUGUUUCCAGUGAUAGCUGUUAGAUUAAAUGAUUGGUCCUAUCCAUGUGUAAUCAUGUAUUAUUUGUGAUGAGACUUGUAUUUUUAGUCUGUAUAAUUUUGUAAUGGAUUGAACAUAUUCCUGUAAUUUUGAACUGUGGAACACAUAGAAGUUAGUUAAUUUUGGUAGUAUUUGUGGCUUGUUGUGCUCACCCUAGAGGCAUCGCAGAAGCUUUCCCAUGUUUCUGAACUGAUGUCAUCCUUGCUACGACAAUUCUUGAUCUUGGGCCACACCAGAUUCAUACGCUUUGUGAAUCGGUGGGUCAUAUAAUUGAAGUUGAAUCUGAUAAUACCAAGAGUCUAAGAGGGACGAAUACCUGAAGAGAUUGAUGAGCCUUCCUAAUCAGGUUCCCUUCUAGCAUGCAUUUUUACCUUCUUUAUCAUUUCUCUUAAGGAUAGUCUUUACAAGGUUAUCUUGUGAUCAGUUUGAUUUGAAAAAAAUGGGCUGAAAUAAUUCGACAGGCGGGCCAAAGCAUUGAUAUCCUGAAGAACCACAAUGUUAUCAGAUCUCUUCUUAACAUUUUGCAGGUAAUAAUCGAGCCUGUAUUUGAAUCUUGUGGCCUUACAAGCCUAAAUGGCAAUGUUGUUAGUUGUUUAUUGUUGUGAAGUUCUUUACUUAAUUUAUAAAUUCACUAUAAGAUUGUGGUUUUCUACUUAAAGAAAUGAUAUUUGUUAGAUGACCAAACUCACUUGCAUGUCAUUCCUUAAGAAGAUCAGUCUCCCAAAUGCUUUAGUUAGUUGCUAGCCAAGGCAAAAAAAUUUAUGUAAUCUGCCCCGUGAGAGGGUGUGGUCUUUGUCAAGGAGUACACUACGAUGCCGAACCGACGAUGAUGAAGGCGAGCGUCGGCUCAGUGCGGGGUAGUGGAGAGCGGUGACAGUAAUAAGAGUUGUCUGUAAUGCAUUUUCCAUGCCAUCUGGUUGUAUCUCCGUAUGUCUUCUUUCCUGUGCUAUAAAUACAAGCAAAUGUGCUACACUACCUUUGGACCAACUGUAAUGGGUGGUCCUCAUUAUCUAUAUAUUCAGUUUAAGUUUAUCUGAACUUGCAAUUUCUCUGUUGCAACACAUGCCUAGUGUCCUCAUGUGCACUAAGUACGAGAUGCUUCCUUUCCUAACAAAUAUCAAUCAGUUAUGAACAUCAGCUCAUAUAAUUUGAUUAUUUUUGGAGACCUAUCCAUGUAACUCACUGAUGCAUGUAACUAGCAUAUUUAUCUGCUAAGCCUCCUAGAAAUGUUCAUGUCACAAUAUGGAACAAACAAGCAAGCUGAAUGGGC